rnacentral:misc_RNA from 1 species
GAUGAAGAACGUAGCGAAAUGCGAUAAGUAAUGUGAAUUGCAGAAUUCAGUGAAUCAUCGAAUCUUUGAACGCGCAUUGCGUCCGCCAGUAUUCUGGCGGGCAUGCCUGUUCGAGCGUCAUUUCAACCAUCAAGCCCCAGGCUUGUGUUGGGGACCUGCGGCUGCCGCAGGCCCUGAAAACCAGUGGCGGGCUCGCUGUCACACCGGGCGUAGUAGAUUUUAUCUCGCUCAGGGCGUGCUGCGGGUUCCGGCCGUUAAAAAGCCUUUUUUACCCAAGGUUGACCUCGGAUCAGGUAGGAAGACCCGCUGAACUUAAGCAUAUCAAUAAGCGGAGGA